GCCGGGGGAUGCAAGCGUUAUCCGGAAUCACUGGGCGUAAAGCGUCUGUAGGUGGUGAUGCAAGUCACUGGUGCAAAACUCUGGCUCAACCGGAGGAAAGCCAGUGAAACUGCAUGACUAGAGUGUGGGAGAGGUAGAAGGAAUUCCCUGAGUAUCGGUGAAAUGCGUAGAUACAGGGAAGAACACCGGAGGCGAAAGCGUUCUACUGGAACACAACUGACACUGAGAGACGAAAGCUAGGGGAGUGAAUGGG
rnacentral:rRNA from 1 species